AGAAUCAACGCUGGCGGCGUGCCUAACACAUGCAAGUCGAACGAGAAAGUGGAGCAAUCCAUGAGUAAAGUGGCGCACGGGUGAGUAACACGUGACUAACCUACCCUUGAGUGGGGGAUAACCUAGGGAAACCUGGGCUAAUACCGCAUAAUACCGAGAGGUCAAAGGAGCAAUUCGCUUUAGGAGGGGUCGCGGCCGAUUAGUUAGUUGGCGGGGUAAUGGCCCACCAAGACUAUGAUCGGUA
rnacentral:rRNA from 1 species